CAGCCCCUCGAGUGGUGGGGAUGAUUAUUUGGCCUAAAGCGUCCGUAGCCGGCCGUGUAAGUCUCCCGUUAAAUCCAGCGUCUCAAGCGUUGGACUGCGGGAGAUACUGUACGGCUAGAGAGUGGGAGAGGUCAGCGGUAUUCUGGGGGUAGGGGCGAAAUCCUUUGAUCCCCGGAGGACCACCAGUGGCGAAGGCUGCUGACUAGAACACGUCUGACGGUCAGGGACGAAAGCUGGGGUAGCGAACCGGAUUAGAUACCCUGGUAGUCC
rnacentral:rRNA from 1 species